ensembl:lncRNA
GAAACGGCAUUAAGGAUCCACAAGCAGCAGGAAAGCAGAUGGAUGAUAAGACCAAGCAAAACAACGAUGGUCAUCCCUCAGAAAGCACUUCCCCAUCAAACACUGCCCUGAUGGAGGUGGGUGGAGAUGUUACAGAUGCUUCAGCUUCAAACCAGGUGUUAUCUAAAAACAAUGCUGGAGGAGAUUUGCCACCAGAGACCCAAACAGAAAACCCCUCAGUAAGCUUGGUGGAAGCUGAUGGGGCUGGUCAGCCCAUGCCAGGCACUGGGAUGGAGCAGGCAGACAGCUGGGCAAGCCUCCAGCCAAGCGCAAAGAGCGGCUCCAUUGCUUUCUCUACUGCUAACAUGGGCACAGGGAUAAUGUUUGUGAGCAGUAGUUCGGCCACUACUCUCAGAGACCGACUCAGAUGGACCAGCGGGGCCAUCUCAGAAGACCAGGACAAGGAAUGCCCAGCUGAUGGCUUGGAGAGCUACGGGCUGGCGCAGGAGCCAGAAACCCAGCUGAGCAAGAGCGGGGUUGACCCUGGCAGCACUCAAUCUGCUCUCUGUGAGGCUCAUCAAGCAGAGUCAAAAGAGAUGGCGAAGGAAAAUGAAGACCCUGGUGCAGACUCGCUGUUGGACACCUCUCAAGAGAAGUCCUUCUCGGAGGAGCCAGCCACUGACUCCUCUUGUUCAGCAACAGUUCCCCCAGAGCAAACUCACACCGACAGAGAAAAGCAGAGGUCAUCUGGGAAAAGGAGGAAGAAGAAGAGGCACAGCAAAAGCUACUCAGGUGUCACAGCAAGGCAGAAGAAAUAACAGAGACCCAGCGAACCACUCACGUGUCCUCAGAGCGCUGCCAGCUUCUCAGAAGCCAGGUUCUGCAUCGCCAAAACACCACCGUGGUCACCUCUGCCCAACAGGACUCACUGCUUCUCUUCAUGCAGCCUUUCGUUCCCUCUCCAAGACCCAGAGAGCCUUCCUGGUGACUUUGGACCCCUUAGCUUGUGCCUCAUGCUGGGCGCUCACAGGGCUGGGGGCCGGUUCUGUGCAUGGUGGCGUGAAAGGGUCAGACCUCUCAUCUGCUGUCCUGGAAACUAAAUCUUUCAACCUGCUCUUAGGCCAAACUCCACUUGGAACGACAGCUGAGUGUGGCCCAAGAAAGGACCUCAGUGUUUAGCCUUCAGAGAAAUAUCAAAAAUAGCAGUGCCUCAACUACAGUAAGGGUAUAAAUUAAGCAGUGUCUGUACCAUCACAGGUAGAAGCAUGUUAACUCCCCCUUCUCAUCGCCUACUGACGAUUUAUCUGGGACCAGAUCCAAGACCUAAGUAUUGGUCUUGGAUCAGACAAAGUAUUUUUACUCUCAACCAUUUAAAGCCAGGGAAAUUGGUUACAGGGAAAAAAAAGUGGAAAAAAAAAAAAAAAGUAUGUAUUUUAGUAAGCAUAUGGCCAUAUAAACAGUGUCUGGUUCUACAUGAUGCUUAUGUGCAAUUAAGCUGAAGCACAUCGGUAGUCUUGCAGUCUACUCACACAGAUGCAUCCAUCAACUUUCAGAGAUCCAGGGCCUCAGUUCCUCUUAUUAAAGCAACAGAGGUUUUCCAGAGUGCUUUAUCAGACACAUUUCAGCUCAUCCUUUAGUAAAUCUCUGGGUUUGAAUUCUGUUGUCAGCUGCUUGCACUCAAUAUUCUUUAUGUCCAAGUUGUAGAAUGUGUAGAUUCAUGUUACUUUUGCUUUAAAACUGGGAAUGUGCAGUAUUGUGUUUUCAAAAUUCAGAGAUUUAUUUCUUAAGUUUUGUAAUAACAUUGUAUCAUAGUUUUGUACAUAGCUGUCAAUUUAAAAUGAUCUAUGUUUGUUGAAUCUAUAGUGUGAUACUGUGCUGAAACAUGAAUCAAGUGGAAGAGCUGGGUACAUUUAAGAACUAUGCCUUUAUAUGGUAACUCACUGUGGCUAGACUAAUGUUCAGGCUAAAGCUUAUUUUGCCUUGCAUAACAGGACUUGUCCUUGUAAUAUUGAAAACUUUGCUGGACUAAGUUGGAAGUUAAAUCAAGAAUUAAAUCACUGGUUUAUUUUAACCAAUGCAUUGCCAUUAACAUAUUGAGAAUCAGUUAAAAGCAGAGAUGCGUUGAGAGCAGACACAUGGGCAGCUUCAGUUCAGGAGACCCCACAGAGUGGCACAGCCCUUUGGCAACUGAAAUCCCAUUCCUGGCUGGAAGAAGCAGGCAGAGCCCCACCGUUUCCUGGAGAAUCACAUAACCCACCCCAGGUUUGACUUGCAGGACUGGCUCUAUCACAUUUACAGGUUUUCCCAUUUCUUUUUUCCUCUUUUUGUGUCUCAGAGCACGUCACCCAAGCAUCAUCCUUUUGCUCUUUAACCUGGCUUCUCUGCUCUCAGAUCAGACCCCAGGCUUCAAAAUCUGAGUAUUAAACACAUUUUCCCAGCAGCUUCGCAACCUCUGUGUUUCCAGCAAGAGCCUGCAGCCCAGGCUAGCAGUGAGCAGCCAACCUCCUCCUCCCCACCCCACUGUUCUGUCAAUAAGAACAUCAUUUGGCGAUUCAAGACUAGGGAACAAACAGGCUUUCUGGGUGUUACCUAGGGAACCUUACCUGCUAAUGCUUUGCAGGCUGCUCUCUUUGGCAGGUGUCCACUUUUCUGUCUGCGUCUUUCAGCUAUCCCCCAUUUCUGCCUAGAGAGAGCAGCUCUUUUCACACAGCCAGAAAUUUUAUUACUGUGUUCUUACCUUGGCCAUCAAAGAGAGGGUGCUUGGCAUUAGCUUUCCACUGCCCUCAAGAGUUUAUAAAAAAAAUGGGUUAUUUUGAGCCACUGGCGGUUAUUUGUUCCAUAGUCAUCUGUGAAAACUAUGUUAAAUUAUCUCUUCAAUCAUAUCCCAAUAUGCGAGCUGAGGCACAGCAUUUGUACUUUACUACUCCAGAGCAGCUCUGCUUCCAUUACAGCGACAAAGAAGAACAGAGGGACAGAACCAAAGCAGGUCAAACAAAGAUGUUCAACUGGGAUGUGCAGGUUUGCUCCAUUUUUAUCUUAAAAUAAAGCUCACGAUCCUGAAGAUUUUUCAUGUUUGCAAGGCUAAAUUAAUUGCUGGUAAAAAGAAUGUUACUUGCAGCUACCUGAACAGGUCUGUGGUCAUUUAAGUCGAUAAUGAGUUUGGACCUCAAAAAAGAAUUUUUCUGGUACAUUACAGCAACUGCACAUGGAGUCCAGUAUGUAAACUAGGCUGUGAAUGCCACAAGUUUCUAGCUGCCAAAUAACUGCAUAUUCCUUAACUAAGCAUUGACUAUAUGAUAAAAUGAAGUUAUGAAAGAGAUCAGCAUAAGUCUUUUCCAAGUAUUUCACAUCAGAAUUCAGAUAUGUUUAAUGAGAUGGAUUUUUAGGGUUAGUUUUCUGGGGGUUUUGUUUUUAUUUUGUGUUUUGCUGGGGGGUUUAGUGGGGUUUUUUUGUUUAAUUUCAAUACUGAAAAUUGGUCAAAGUUUAGAAUAAAAUAAGUACUUGAUAAAUUUCCUUUCUCUUGUGGGAAUGGGGAAGACCUAUAACUCACCAGAAUUUGUCCAUCAAAGUCCUAUAUUUUCCACAUAGUUUAUAAGGCACCUAAGCAUAUAAUUGUUGUAUAUGCUUAGCAAUAAUUACCCAUUGUUUUCUCUCAAAGAAACAGAGAUGUAUAAAUGGAGCUAUACCUAGUACAUGAAAACUACCAGUGUUGCACUGUACUUAAAGCACAGCUAAAAUUUGUGUCCAAAGGUAUGCCAAUAUCUUUUAGUUUGAACGUAUUGUUUGGUCCUCUCCUACAUUCGGUAGGGAAUGUAUUUCUCAGAGCUAAGAAAUACCUUCUGUUCUGCUUAGAAGGAAAGAGGAUAAAUUAAAAUAAAAAUGCAUGAGCCCAUU